UACACCGCCCGUCGCUCCUACCGAUUGGAUGACUCGGUGAAAUCACCGGAUGCUUACGAGCAGAAAGUGAUUAAAUCACGUUAUCUAGAGGAAGGAGAAGUCGUAACAAGGUAACGGUAGGUGAACCUGCCGUUGGAUCAGUUCUAGUUUUAAUAACUAACACCAACUUCUUUUAUUAAACAAAAACCAAUACAAAAUUAAAAACUAAUUUCAUCAAAAACCAAGUCUCUAAGCAAUGG
rnacentral:rRNA from 1 species